rnacentral:rRNA from 1 species
GGGGAAUAUUGGACAAUGGGCGCAAGCCUGAUCCAGCCAUGCCGCGUGGGUGAAGAAGGCCUUCGGGUUGUAAAGCCCUUUUGUUGGGAAAGAAAAGCAGCCGGCCAAUACCCGGUUGUUCUGACGGUACCCAAAGAAUAAGCACCGGCUAACUUCGUGCCAGCAGCCGCGGUAAUACGAAGGGUGCAAGCGUUACUCGGAAUUACUGGGCGUAAAGCGUGCGUAGGUGGUGGUUUAAGUCCGUUGUGAAAGCCCUGGGCUCAACCUGGGAACUGCAGUGGAUACUGGAUCACUAGAGUGUGGCAGAGGGUAGUGGAAUUCCCGGUGUAGCAGUGAAAUGCGUAGAUAUUGGGAGGAACACCAGUGGCGAAGGCGACUUUCUGGACUACAACUGACGCUGAGGCACGAAAGCGUGGGGAGCAAACA